GAUGAACGCUGGCGGCGUGCCUAAUACAUGCAAGUAGAACGCUGAAGCUUGGUGCUUGCACCGAGCGGAAGAGUUGCGAACGGGUGAGUAACGCGUAGGUAACCUGCCUCUUAGCAGGGGAUAACUAUUGGAAACGAUAGCUAAUACCGCAUAAAAGUCGGCAUUGCAUGAUGUUGACUUGAAAGGUGCAACUGCAUCACUAAGAGAUGGGCCUGCGUUGUAUUAGCUAGUUGGUGAGGUAACGGCUCACCAAGGCGACGAUACAUAGCCGACCUGAGAGGGUGAUCGGCCGCACUGGGACUGAGACACGGCCCAGACUCCUACGGGAGGCAGCAGUAGGGAAUCUUCGGCAAUGGACGGAAGUCUGACCGAGCAACGCCGCGUGAGUGAAGAAGGUUUUCGGAUCGUAAAGCUCUGUUGUAAGAGAAGAACGAGUGUGAGAGUGGAAAGUUCACACUGUGACGGUAACUUACCAGAAAGGGACGGCUAACUACGUGCCAGCAGCCGCGGUAAUACGUAGGUCCCGAGCGUUAUCCGGAUUUAUUGGGCGUAAAGCGAGCGCAGGCGGUUAGAUAAGUCUGAAGUUAAAGGCUGUGGCUUAACCAUAGUACGCUUUGGAAACUGUUUAACUUGAGUGCAGAAGGGGAGAGUGGAAUUCCAUGUGUAGCGGUGAAAUGCGUAGAUAUAUGGAGGAACACCGGUGGCGAAAGCGGCUCUCUGGUCUGUAACUGACGCUGAGGCUCGAAAGCGUGGGGAGCAAACAGG
rnacentral:rRNA from 1 species